GUGCUGGUGGUGUAGGGGUUAAGCGCGCCCAUGUGCAGAGGCCAUAGCCCUCGGUGCAGCUGCCCUGGGUUCAAGUCCCGGACCCAGUGACC